AUAUAAACCGAUAACAACUGCUUAAGCACUUAGACGUCUUGGGUCGAGCAUUGACAAGUUUCAACGUACUCAAAGAAGACCUCAGCUUGGAAGUUUAACGACUUUAACGGUUACUGCAGUGAAGAGCUACUAGCAUCAGGCAUGGAAAUCAAAAUGAAAAACGCUAAACAAGCCAAAAGAUUCUCCUUUUCAACGAUGUUUCUUCUUUUAAUAAUCGUUGCGGCAGUGACUGCAAAAGCGACACAAAAAGACAGUUUUCAUCAAAUUGACACCGCCAUCGAGGAGAAUGCAGCCGCAAAGAAACAGGCUCGCGGAUGGAGAGUUUGCCACAGUGGGAAAUGUUACAAUAGCCGCGGCCGUAAAAGAGGGAUGAAAAGGAUUAAACCACAGUUUCAACAGGAGCUGCAAGAUUUCGAAAUUACCAACAAAGAUGAUUUCGACAUACCAGCAGCCGAAACAAGGACGUUAAAAAGCUGGAAAGACGACUUCCAAUCGUAAUUUGAAAGAACCACUGAAACAGAUUGCCCCUGCACUAUCUAUUGUAUUUGAUAGCUGGAUAUCAAGUCUGCAUUUUCACAAUCGUUUACACCUUUUUGGAACAUUUCCAGCAUUGAUGGUUUCCAGGACUAACAUUUAAUGACUUGAAGAAAGCAAACAGGUCGAUAAUUAAACAAUCCUCAACAGAACUCAUCGUAGUAAAAUCCUUGUGAACACAAUAAAAGUCUCUUUAAAAAAUGAAUGUA